rnacentral:rRNA from 1 species
CAUGUCUUUUUGAUUAUAAUCUAAAGUCUGGCCUGCCCUAUGAAUAAGUUAUUUUUAAAUGGCUGCGGUACUCUGACCGUGCAAAGGUAGCAUAAUCAUUAGUUUUUUAAUUGGGAACUGGUAUGAAAGGUCGCACGAGAAAAAGACUGUCUCAAUUUAAUUUAAAUUAGAAUUUUAUUUUUAAGUAAGAAAGCUUAAAUAUUUUUAAAAGACGAGAAGACCCUAUAGAGUUUUAUAUAAUUUAGUAUAUUUGAAAGUUAAAGAAUUUUAGAUUUAAUUAUAUUAAAUUAUAUUUGGUUGGGGCAAUUAAAAAAUUAAAUGAAUUUUUUUUAAAUAAUAACAUUGAUAUAUGAUUGAGUGAUCCAUAAUUUAUGAUUAAAAGAUUAAAUUACCUUAGGGAUAACAGCGUAAUUUUUUUUAGAGUACUUAUCGAAAAAAGAGUUUGCGACC